CCCAGGGCAAGGAGGGUGCUCCCAGCAGGCCCUGUGGUACCUACAGAAAAGGGGAACCCCAUUCGCGGUUCUCAGGGUGGGCCCUGCUUCUCUCACAAGCAGCCUUCUAGGAGAGGGAACCCCCAGGAAGAACAGACACGCAGCCUGACGACUCUGGAAAUGACCUUGACAAGGUGCAGGUCGGCCUUGGGACACCACGGCCGCUCUAGUCAGUAAAAGCUGUAACAGAAGCACCCGGGGCUACAGCUUGAAGAGAGCCAAACAGGUAAGCCUCUGGGCCUCAGUUUCCUCAUCUAUUCAAUGGGACCAACAAAGAACCCCAGCUUCAUGGAAGGGACAUACGGACUCUCGGGGAGACCAAUUCUCCAGAGCACGCUGUCAUCGACCCCCUCAGUGAUACGGUCACAGGCUGCCGGGCAGAAUGGAGAAGAAAAAAAUUCUGAAAUUAAAUGGGUUCAUCGUGAUUGCCUGAGUGCGCGCACACCACACAUGGUACACGUGUGGAAGUCACUUUGGCAGAGUUGGCGCUCUCCUCCUCCUCCUUCUGCCUGGGUUCGGAGAAUUGAACACUGGCAUUGGCGAGACCCUUUCCCUGCUGGGAAGAGGUGCAAAGGUGACAGAGCCAGGCCCGUGGGUGGCUGGCACAGAGAGGGCCUUGCCAGCUAAGUCAAGUGUCCCUCUUAGGAACUGUUCCUCCUGCUGGGCUGACUCCUGGGGGAGGGGGUGAUUCUUUAUAAACAAAAGCCAGCCAAGAACACUGAUCCCCAAGAGUAGAGAGCUGCUCCACUUCAUUAAGGACACCCCCCCCCCCCCAGCCCCACUUAUCUCUGCAGGGUCUGAAUCACCAGGGUGGAAAGUUUUCAACCUCCCCUCCUCCACACCCGCAUUCUUGUGUUAGGAUGUCAUGGGGGAGGAGCUCCUGGGCCCACUCAUCCUGACCAGCCCCCUCCUCUCUUCCCCCUCCCCAAGCACCCAUGG